GUUGGAAACCCUAGCCAUUUCUUUAUCCUUUUCUUGCCUUUUGAUGGUUUAAGAUUAGUAGAAGUAGAGAGGAUGAGGAGAGAAGAUUCCAAGGUUUUAGUGGUUUUGGUCAUCAUAGCGAGGCAAAGUGCUUGGCAAUUUGUAUCCCA